rnacentral:rRNA from 1 species
UUGAACGCUGGCGGCAUGCCUUACACAUGCAAGUCGAACGGCAGCACGGGUGCUUGCACCUGGUGGCGAGUGGCGAACGGGUGAGUAAUACAUCGGAACAUGUCCUGUAGUGGGGGAUAGCCCGGCGAAAGCCGGAUUAAUACCGCAUACGAUCUACGGAGGAAAGCGGGGGACCUUCGGGCCUCGCGCUAUAGGGUUGGCCGAUGGCUGAUUAGCUAGUUGGUGGGGUAAAGGCCUACCAAGGCGACGAUCAGUAGCUGGUCUGAGAGGACGACCAGCCACACUGGGACUGAGACACGGCCCAGACUCCUACGGGAGGCAGCAGUGGGGAAUUUUGGACAAUGGGCGAAAGCCUGAUCCAGCAAUGCCGCGUGUGUGAAGAAGGCCUUCGGGUUGUAAAGCACUUUUGUCCGGAAAGAAAUCCUUGGCCCUAAUACGGUCGGGGGAUGACGGUACCGGAAGAAUAAGCACCGGCUAACUACGUG